rnacentral:rRNA from 1 species
AACGAACGCUGGCGGCAUGCCUAACACAUGCAAGUCGAACGAUGCCUUCGGGCAUAGUGGCGCACGGGUGCGUAACGCGUGGGAAUCUGCCUUUCGGUUCGGAAUAACUCAGGGAAACUUGAGCUAAUACCGGAUAACGUCGCAAGACCAAAGAUUUAUCACCGAAAGAUGAGCCCGCGUAGGAUUAGCUAGUUGGUGAGGUAAAGGCUCACCAAGGCGACGAUCCUUAGCUGGUCUGAGAGGAUGAUCAGCCACACUGGGACUGAGACACGGCCCAGACUCCUACGGGAGGCAGCAGUGGGGAAUAUUGGACAAUGGGCGAAAGCCUGAUCCAGCAAUGCCGCGUGAGUGAUGAAGGCCUUAGGGUUGUAAAGCUCUUUUACCCGGGAAGAUAAUGACGGUACCGGGAGAAUAAGCCCCGGCUAACUCCGUGC